CGGCGCUGUGACUCUGCACAGAGCGCCCAUUGCGUGCCUUUGUGCGUGUGACAGCGGCGGU
rnacentral:pre_miRNA from 1 species